rnacentral:rRNA from 1 species
CUUGGUCAUUUAGAGGAAGUAAAAGUCGUAACAAGGUCUCCGUUGGUGAACCAGCGGAGGGAUCAUUAGAGAGAGCCUAAGAAACUCCCGAAAACCCCAUGUGAACAUACCCGURCGUUGCCUCGGCGGUCCCCCCCCCCCGGGGGGCCCGCCGGCGGCCCCGAAACGAACCCUGUGAUAGAACUGAAUCUCUGAGCUUGUAUAAUAAAUUGAGUCAAAACUUUCAACAACGGAUCUCUUGGUUCUGGCAUCGAUGAAGAACGCAGCGAAAUGCGAUAAGUAAUGUGAAUUGCAGAAUUCAGUGAAUCAUCGAAUCUUUGAACGCACAUUGCGCCCGCCGGUAUUCUGGCGGGCAUGCCUGUUCGAGCGUCAUUUCAACCCCUUAAGCCCCUGUUGCUUAGCGUUGGGAGCCUACGGCCCGCCGUAGCUCCUCAAAGUCAGUGGCGGAGCCGGCCCCCCACCCCAGGCGUAGUAGUUCAUUCAAGCUCGCCCGCGGUAGGACCGGUCCCCUGCCGUAAAACACCCCAGUUUCUCGCAAGGUUGACCUCGGAUCAGGUAGGGAUACCCGCUGAACUUAAGCAUAUCAAUAAAGCGGAGGG